rnacentral:rRNA from 1 species
GAUCAACGCUGGCGGCGCACAUAAGACAUGCAAGUUGAACGGACUUAAUCGAAAUAUUUAUAUUUUGAAGCGGUUAGUGGCGGACUGGUGAGUAACGCGUAAGGAACCUGCCUUUUAGAGGGGAAUAACAGUGAGAAAUCAUUGCUAAUACCGCAUAUGCCAUAGAUAUCACAUGAUAACAGUGGGAAAGGAGCAAUCCGCUAAUAGAUGGCCUUGCGUCUGAUUAGAUAGUUGGUGGGGUAACGGCCUACCAAGUCGACGAUCAGUAGCCGGACUGAGAGGUUGAACGGCCACAUUGGGACUGAGAGACGGCCCAGACUCCUACGGGAGGCAGCAGUCGGGAAUAUUGCGCAAUGGAGGAAACUCUGACGCAGGGACGCCGCGUAUAGGAAGAAGGUUUUCGGAUUGUAAACUAUUGUCGUUAGGGAAGAGAAAGGACAGUACCUAAGGAGGAAGCUCCGGCUAACUACGUG